GUGCCAGCCGCCGCGGUAAUACGAAGGGGGCUAGCGUUGUUCGGAAUUACUGGGCGUAAAGCGCGCGCAGGCGGUCCUUCAAGUCAGAGGUGAAAGCCCAGAGCUCAACUCUGGAACGGCCUUUGAAACUAGAGGACUAGGGUACGGGAGAGGUGAGUGGAAUUCCGAGUGUAGAGGUGAAAUUCGUAGAUAUUCGGAAGAACACCAGUGGCGAAGGCGGCUCACUGGCCCGUUACCGACGCUCAGGCGCGACAGCGUGGGGAGCAAACAGGAUUAGAUACCCGUGUAGUCC
rnacentral:rRNA from 1 species